rnacentral:misc_RNA from 1 species
GAUGAAGAACGUAGCGAAAUGCGAUAAGUAAUGUGAAUUGCAGAAUUCAGUGAAUCAUCGAAUCUUUGAACGCACAUUGCGCCCGCUAGUAUUCUGGCGGGCAUGCCUGUCCGAGCGUCAUUUCAACCCUCAAGCCCCCGGGCUUGGUGUUGGGGAUCGGCGAGCCUCCGCGCCCGCCGUCCCCUAAAUCUAGUGGCGGUCUCGCUGUAGCUUCCUCUGCGUAGUAGCACACCUCGCACUGGGAAACAGCGCGGCCACGCCGUUAAACCCCCAACUUCUGAACGUUUGACCUCGGAUCAGGUAGGAAUACCCGCUGAACUUAAGCAUAUCAAUAAGCGGGGGA